rnacentral:tRNA from 1 species
GGCGCUGUAGCUCAGUGGUAGUAGCGCGUGUCUCAUAAGCACGAGGUCGGGAGUUCAAUUCUCCCUAGCGCCA